rnacentral:rRNA from 1 species
ACGCUGGCGGCACGCCUAACACAUGCAAGUCGAACGAAGUAGCAAUACUUAGUGGCAGACGGGUGAGUAACAUGUAGGUAUCUGCCCUUUGGCCUGGAAUAACACGAGGAAACUUGUGCUAAUACCGGAUAAGUCUUUACGGAGAAAGCUUUAUGCACCAUUGGAUGAGCCUGCACUUGAUUAGUUUGUUGGUGGGGUAAUGGCCUACCAAGACUGUGAUCAAUAGCUGAUUUGAGAGGAUGAUCAGCCACAUUGGGACUGAGACACGGCCCAAACUCCUACGGGAGGCAGCAGUGGGGAAUCUUGCACAAUGGAGGAAACUCUGAUGCAGCGAUGCCGCGUGAGUGAAGAAGGCCUUUGGGUUGUAAAGCUCUUUCGUCGGGGAAGAAAAUGACUGUACCCGAAUAAGAAGGUCCGGCUAACUUCGUGCCAGCAGCCGCGGUAAUACGAAGGGACCUAGCGUAGUUCGGAAUUACUGGGCUUAAAGAGUUCGUAGGUGGUUGAAAAAGUUAGUGGUGAAAUCCCAGAGCUUAACUCUGGAACUGCCAUUAAAACUUUUCAGCUAGAGUAUGAUAGAGGAAAGCAGAAUUUCUAGUGUAGAGGUGAAAUUCGUAGAUAUUAGAAAGAAUACCAAUUGCGAAGGCAGCUUUCUGGAUCAUUACUGACACUGAGGAACGAAAGCAUGGGUAGCGAAGAGGAUUAGAUACCCUCGUAGUCCAUGCCGUAAACGAUGUGUGUUAGACGUUGGAAAUUUAUUUUCAGUGUCGCAGGGAAACCGAUAAACACACCGCCUGGG